GACAAGAGGUUCCGCAGGGUAAGGUAAAAACCCAACAGCCUGGCCGGGGCCUUUGGCUUGCACUGCUCACGGAACCAAAAACAGCCUAGGUGGCUGAGAGAUGUGUGUGUGUGUGUGUGUGUGUGUGUGUGUGUGUGUGUGUGUGUGUGUGAAAUUAUUCAGAUACUGACAGAUGGACUGGUGGUCUCCUCUCUGCUGGCCUGGCACCCUCGACGUGGAAAGUCCCGCCUCGGGAGCUGGGUCACGGGCAGCUACAGUGAAGUACUGGAAAUAAAAGCCCCAGACAGCUAUAAUAGCAGUGAGUCACAGCAAACCAGGAGCCAUCAGGUGCUCAGGAGGGACACUGAAGCCAGGAGGCUGAGCUGAGCUAGCAGAGCUAGCCAGGAGCAGGACACCCCUGUGGCGAGAAGCACAAAGAGUGGAGUGUUCCAGUCAGAAAUAUCAGGUCACAGGCUUAUUAAACUUGGAUGACAGUAAACCGAUGACUAACUGGAAUGAAUGGAGUCUCUACACAUCAAAUCGUGUGUCUUGACUACUCAGGAUGUCAAGGGCAAAGGUUAACUCCUGGGGGUUUUCUUUCUGUAUUAAGAUUCUCAAGAGAACAGAACCAGUGGUGGAUGUGGAAACAAGGCUCCGAAAAUGUUAAAGAAGCCACUCCUGGUCAUUACAUCAGCUAAACGACAGGCUCUGAUUCACCUGGGCUGUGGGAUUUCCAGGAUCAAAGCAAGUGUAAGAGGGCUGAUGGUGGGCCACUGUCACCACACCCUUCAUCUUUCACUGUGUCAUCUGAGGUUGUUCUACAGUGCCUUGCUUCUGAUUGUGCUGUCAACCUUCUCAGUCCCUGGGUUGGACCUAGGACAACAGGCCAGCCUUUGGUUAGCAUCAGCAGCUGAGUGGAGACUCGUCUCCAAGCAUCAAGGAUGUGAAAAUGUGAUCUUGUUGGGGAUAGUGGGAGCUUGGGGGAUGGGUUCCUUUGUACUUCUCUCAAGGUCUCCUGGUCCCUCCCUGUGUGUUUGUGGGCGCCACAGACAGCCUCACAAUCAGGAUGAGUGGUAACGGGACAGUCAAACACAAUGAAGGGAAUCAUUGUCUCACGAGAGUCAGAACAUCUGUUCCUCCCACCGCACCUGGGCGAAGGCCAAAUAAUCAAAAGAAGGAAACAGGAUCUGCCAACAACGCACUUUACCUUGAGUCUUUGUGUAGAGAAUACCUUCUCCAAGUAGGCGCCUUUCAUUGGCUCAGAUUUUCCCAUCUCAGUUGUCAUUAUAACUGAAAGCUAUUGUAGCUCAUAAUUUCACAUUGUCCUUUCAAAUAGAAGCAUCGCCAAGCAGAUGUGAACAAUUAUCUUCAAUUGUGAUUUUUUUUCCAUUAAAUUUCUAAAGGAAUACCUAA
rnacentral:lncRNA from 1 species